CCAUUCUUGCCUUUCCAGCCUCCUUUACCCCCUCCAGUUGGUUUGAGAUUUGCUGCUGCCUGUAAUGCAUGUUCUUCCUUAUCCUGUCGGAUUACUUUCUGCUCAUGGACUAGCAAAGUGCUUUCCAAUUCAUCAAUUGAAAGUGUGUCAAUAUCCCUUGAUUCCUCAAUCGCACAAACAAUAUAAUUAAAUUUUUCCGUUAAAGAUUGAAGAAUCUUCUCAAUUAUGAUAACAUCCUCGAGCUGCUCGCCAUGAAUUCGU
rnacentral:lncRNA from 1 species